CUCGCGCCUAAAAUCCUUCCAAUCGGUAUUCACCUUUUUCCUAAGUAUCGGAUAGACCAAUCAUCUCUUAAAGUUGAAUUCGAUUUCAAGUCAAAGUGCACGUUGGGUUGGAGUCGUGUUUGCUUACAGUUGGAAAUUCGAGUCGGCCGUGCUGUAUUCAGAUUUCCGAGAACAAAUCGAGGAAGAGGUGAUUGGGUUUAAAUGAGCCACACGGUUGAGGCCGUUGAUUGGAGUUGGGUUCUUCAGAACGCAAGGCUAUCGAAAUCUUGAAUCGGGAACACGUGUAUCUCGGUUAGAUAAUCGGUAAGAGUUGGUUUGCAGGUCGUACCGGAACCAGCUACUAGAGGAAGAAUUGGUGGUUAGGACGUUCUUAACUGCUAUAACCAGCUUAUCGAUCGGAGGAGAAGAUUAAUUUUCGAGGAUUGAUUCUCAACACGGAAUUGACCGAGUCUAAGGCUAAGGCUCAUUACGU
rnacentral:lncRNA from 1 species